GUAUUCGUGUAUCUCAUGCAUUUCAAUGAGUACAAGCUGAUCAGGCUGACCUUCGGCUAUAUUUGGAUCAAAACAGACGGACAAUUUUGGGCGAAAUAAAGUCUAUGAUGAACGUCGCCACUGAUGCCAAGGCAAAACCAGCGUGAAAUUCCCCUUUAACCUGUACUUGUUGGCUUUAUUCAAUGCAGGAUUCUACAUGCAGGAGUUAGUCCGUAGCGGGGUGUUUCUGGUUUUGGGUAGGGAAAUAUGGCGAAGCGGAAGUGCUGUUCGAGUCUGAUAUCUCCCAGUUCAGUAAAGUUGGUAAGAAGGAAUGGAAGACGGAGACAACGAAAAAUGAAGCAAACAGACCAAAAGUUGUAAAUGAACAUCGGCUUCUUUUGGAGCGCGAUUCAUCAACAAUGAUCUAUUUUUGGGAGAUCAUUUGAGGUCAGGAAGAUGGUGAAGGAGGCAUUAGGAAAGGUAGUCAGUCAGAGUGACCAGUAGUGGUUUUGUUAUGAUUUCAUGCGUCGCAGUAGGAGAGAGCAUUGUGUUUUUCGGAGCAGGGCACCGAUAAAAUGUGUUAUAUCUGGAGUUUCGUUGGAAGAGUGAAGAGUGUCUGCCUACUCAUGUGAUGCUGUAAGACAUGCAUUGUCAGCUAUUGUGAAUAAACCACUGCAGUUAUGAAAUUGAUAAAAGAAUGGCCAUGUUUCAAGUGUGUGCCGACGGAAUAUUUUUGGUAUUUAUUAGGAUCCCCAUUAGCCGCUGCAAAAGUAUCAGAAUUGUUCACUUCUCUCAUUGACUUCUCAAACCCCGUCUUGGUCUGCUUCACAGGCGUUCUCUGAAGUCUCGCGUUGUUACGUCUCUGGGUUUAGAAACUGGUAGUUGGGGAACAGGAAGUUUCGCGCAGGCGCGCAUCAUUCUUCAGAAUAAAGGAGAGGUCAGAAUUGUGGAGUCGAGACGACAACUUCUGUGUCCGUUUCAAAUGUAUAUCUAGUGAUUAAGUCUGAGGCCGCUAACAUCAACAGUGAGGACAAACCCAGCCUGCCUCUCUCCUUCCACACUGUCCAAACCUACAGUCACUGGCUCCUGAUUGUGACAGCGGAGCCCAGUUUGCUCUGCAGGAUCCAGAGAUGGCAUCAGUGAAGCUGGAAGACUGCAGUCAAACACUGGAGCUGAAUGUCAACAUUAAAGAUGAAGAAGAGGAGGAGAAGAUUAGGAAAUCUGUUUCUCAUGGCCAAAAUCAACAUCCUCACCAAUUCUAUGUAAAGGAGAUGUGUCCCGGAGGAGGCAGCAGCAGCUACCCACUUCUCCAGUGCUUACUGUGUAAAUUGGGAGGUGCUGGAACCAAGAGUGAGCCUGAGAGGGGGGUGACCUGGGGGUCUCUGAGGACGACUAGAAUUAAAUCUGAGGCCGGUAACAUCAAUAGUGAGGACAAACCCAGCCUGCCUCUCUUCUUCCACACUGAGUCCAAACCUACAGUCACUGGGUGCUGAUUGUGACAGUGGAGCCCAGUUUGCACUGCAGGAUUCAGAGAUGGCAUCAGUGAAGCUGGAAGACUGCAGUCAAACACUGGAGCUGAAUGUCAACAUUAAAGAUGAAGAAGAGGAGGAGAAGAUUGGGACAUCUGUUUCUCAUGGACACCGUGUUGAGACAUCCUCUACAUCCAGAGAGCAACAGCAGGAAGAUCACAGAGCUAAGAGGUCUCACCACUGCCCACAUUGUGAGGAGAUUUUCCCAUUUCUAUCAAAGCUAAAAAUACACCUCAAAAUACACCCAGGAGAGAAUCGGUAUUCCUAUACUGACGGUGGGAAGAAUUUCACCACAUCCAAGGCUCUGACAGUUCAUCAGAGAGUGCAGACAAGAGAGAAGACUUACUCCUGCUCUGACUGUGUAAAAUGCUUCACAACAUCAACUUGGCUAAAAGUUCAUCAGAGAACACAUACAGGAGAGAAGCCUUACUCCUGCUCUGAUUGUAUAAAAUGCUUCACAACAUCAGCUAAGCUAAAAGUUCAUCAGAGAACACACACAGGAGAGAAGCCUUACUUCUGCUCUGCCUGUGGGGCGAGUUUCUCUCUAAUGUGCAACUUAAAACGACAUGAACGUAUACACACAGAGAAGCUUUACUCCUGCUCUGACUGUGCGGCGAGUUUCUCUCUACUGUGCAAAUUAAAAUGACAUGAAUGCAUACACACAGGAGAGAAGCCUUACUCCUGCUCUGACUGUGGAAAGAGUGUCUCUCCUGGGCCACUUAAAAAUACACCAACAUAUACAUACUGGAGAGAAGCCUUACUCCUGUUCUGACUGUGGAAAGAGUUUCUCUCGACCGGGCCAUUUAAAAACACAUGAACAAAAACAUACAGGAGAGAAGCCUUACUCCUGCUCUGACUGUGGAAAAUGCUUCCAACAUCAACUGAGCUAAAAAUUCAUCAAAGAACACCCACAGGAGAGAAGCCGUACUCCUGCUCUGAGUGUGUAAAAUGCUUCCCAACAUCAACUAGGCUAAAAGUUCAUCAGAGAACACACACAGGAGAGAAGCCUUACAUCUGCUCUGACUGUGCGGCGAGUUUCUCUCUACUGUGUAACUUAAAACGACAUGAAUGUAUACACACAGGAGAGAAGCCUUAUCACUGCACUGACUGUGAGAAGAGAUUCUACAGAUUGGGCCAUUUAAAAAGACACCAAUGUAUACAUAAAGGAGAGAAGCCUCAUUUCUCUAAGACCAGCUAAUAUUAGACACUCCACUUAAGUAUCAUGUCAUUAAAUAAUUGGCAACGUUGAAUUGGAUCAAGUGAGGAAAGUGUAAAACACUAUUGUAAUCCUAUAGUUUCUCACUGUGAGAGAACUGUGCCGAGGAAAGGGAGCGUUAUAGCAUGUUAGCCUCUCUUUACUUUACUGAUCAGUGUGCACCUUGUCAGUUUUGUUAAUCUCAAUAACUUUACAUUAGAAACUAACUUAGGGUUGAAUAUCCUCUGUGAGACGUCUCACAAUGGAGUCUGAUGGUUGACUGGGUGGUACUGCUUCCCUCUGAAGUUUUCUGUGGGAUUGAGCUGGUAGACACAACAUACUCUGAGUGUACAAAACAUUAAGGACACCAUGACAUAGACUGACCAGGUGAAUCCAGGUGAAAAGCUAUGAUCCUUAAUGAUGUAUUUGUGGUGUAUUUAUUAUGGAUCUCCAUUUGCUUUCAUCAAAAAACAAGAAACUGCGGUGGGCUAAGGAAUGAAAAGACUGGACACUGGAUAACUGGGAACAUAUUGCCUGGUCUGAUGAAUCCUGGUUCCUGCUGUUUCACGCUGAUGGGAGGACUAGGGUAUGGAGGAAACCACGAGUACAUGCAUCCAGUGGUGGGAAAAUUACCUGUCAUAUUUAAGUAAAAGUAAUGAUACCUUAAUAGAAAAUUACUCAAGUGAAAGUCACCCAUUAAAAUACUACUUGAGUAAAAGUAUUUGGUUGUAAAUAUACUUAAGUAUCAAAAGUAAAAGUAUGAAUAAUUUCAAAUUCUUUAAAUUAAGCAGACCAGAUUGCACAAUUGUCUUGUUUUUAUUUUAUAUUACGGAUACCCAGGGGCACAUUCCAACGCUCAGACAUCAUUUACAAACAGAGCAUUUGUGUUUAGUGAGUCCGCCAGAUCAGAGGCAGUAGGGAUGACCAGGGAUGUUAUCUUGAGAAGUGUGUGAAUUGGACCACUUUCUGUCACGCUAAUCAUAAAAAAUGUAAGGAGUACUUUUGGGUGUCAGGUAAAAUGUAUGAAGUAAAAAAUAUUUUAUUUUCUUUAGGAAUGUAGUGAAAUAAAAGUAGAAGUUGUCAACAAUAUAAAUAGUAAAGUACAGAUGCCCCCAAAAACUACUUAAGUAGUUCUUUAAAAAAAAUUGACUUCAUUACUUUACACCACUAUAUGCAUCCAUGCCGUGUGUCAGCAUUGCAGGCUGGUGGUGUGAUGGCGUAGGGUGUGUUUUCAGGGCCCACAUUGGGCCCCUUGAUAAAAGAUGAACAAUGUUUGAAUGCUACAGGAUGUCUAAACAUCAUUGCCAAUCAGGUGCAUCUCUUCAUGGCAGCAGUGUAUCCAUCUGCAAGUAGAUAUUUUCAGCAGGAUUAUGCCCCAUGCCACAAAGCUUGUCCAGGAAUGGUUCCAAGAACAUGACAGUGAAUUCAGCUUACUGCAGUGGCCUGCCGAGUCACCAGAUCUCAAUCAAAUUGUGCAUCUGUGGGAAGAGAUGGAACAAGCUAUUCGGAGUAGAUCCACUCCCAGCCAAUUUGACACAAUUGUAGGAAGCAUUGGAGUCAACAUGGACCAGCAUCCCUGUGGAACACUCUCAACACCUUGGACAGUCCAUGCCGUGAUGAUUUGAGGCUGUUCUGAGGAUAAAGGGGGGUGCAACUCAAUAUUAGGAAGGUGUUCCUAAUGUUUUGUGCACUCAGUGUAUAUCAGAUAAAGAUGGUGUGAUGAUCCGUUUUUAGCAUUAGUUUGGGUGGAUUAUUUUAUAUUACUAAACAACUUUUGUUUAAUGAUAAAUGUAGAGCUUGUAUGUAUAUCAUGCACUUUUUUAAAUCUGUCAUUGUGCCCUUGAGCAAGGCAAUUAACCCGUAUUUGUCCAGUAAGUCACUCUUAUCCAGAAAUCUGCUAAAUUACACAAAUGUAAUGAAAAAUGUUUGUACAUGAAUUCAUGCUCGGCAACCUCUCUUGUGUAUAAUUAAAUGAAAUAAACAGUUUGAAGUGAAAUACUGUAUAUACAAUACACAACAUUAAUGCUUUGUUGACCCUGUCCCUCUGGCCAGGGUAAUAGUAAGCUGGAUUUUGCAGCUGCUGUUGUUAGUAGCCUACAGUUUCCAUACAAUACAGCAUGUCAGAUCACAAAUGAUUAGGUGUAUAGUCUUCUACAUUUUUGAAAGAGUUUUUGCUUGUGUCUCUUAACUUUUCCUUGUGGUAAAAAUGUGGGUAAAACAAAGUGUGAAUUAAAAGUGUGAAUCUCGGAGCAUCGUAGCACCAUUAGGUUCAGGAAAUCCACUUUUUGGAAGCGAACCACUUGAUUUCGUCCCUACGUUAUAUCGGCAUCGAACAUGUCACCCUCCCUAGGAGAGGGGGUGACACUGACAAUUUAUUAAAACGAGAGGCUGCCUGGAUCUUUCAUUUAAAGACCCUCGCUCCCUUCGGUCUCAACAUAGACUUGGAUCUGAAGCCAUUCUUGUGAUUGUGCUAUUCAUUGUAAAUGUUUAUAGGCCUAUGUAGCAAAAUUGUAUCUAUGAUCGUAUGCUCUCAUUCAUGUUUUUAGCAUGUUAUUUUUAUAUCUGAGAAUUAACCAAUGAUAUCGGCACACCCGGGCAUGAUUACAGACACCUGUGUGUGUCCUUUGACACUAUAUGAACUAGUGACCCAGACUGUUUGUCAUUAUACCCUGAUGAAGACAGCUUGUCUGUGGAAACGUUGUAUAUUAGGUAAUUAAAUGAUUGCGUCUGAGCUUCUAAA